UUGUAAUUACACUUUUAGGUGUCCUAUUAAAUUUCAAAAGAUUGUGUUUUGUUGUGUAUGAAUGAUUUCAUCAUAUAUAAUAUUAUCUUCUAACACUGGUGUUGUUAGCAGUUAUUUUUUAAUACUCAAUAAUACAGAUUUAUAAAAAACAGGCAUAUUAUUUUUCAUGCUAAUUAGUAAUUUAUCAUUACACCUAUUUUAUUGCAAUGCUUAGUUACAUACCCAUAAAAGAGUUAAGGUAUUUGUGAUUUUAUUUUAUAUUUUGUUGUUAAUGGAACAGUAGAUUGUUCACAUGUUCCAGAACUGUAUUACUGUUUAGUCUACAGUAGCAACUAAAAAUUUGUUUUUUAUGGUGUAACUCAAGAAAAAUGAUAGAUUGUGCUAUUAUUUUCUUAAUUAAAAAUAUAAAUAAUAAAAGUAAUUUGAAUGUUGUAUGACAUAAAAUAAUAUUGUUAUUACUAGUGAAAUUAUUUGCUAUUGUAGUUAUUUAUAUAGAUCAUAUAUAUUAUAGUAUUCAUAGUAGUUAGUCGUAGCCCAAAUAGCGCUAGAGUGGUAAUGUUGCUUAUUGCAUGCUAUUGACCUCUGAUCAAUAAACUUUUAUAAUAUGACUAUAUAUUCCAAAGGCGUGCCCAGAAUUUUUUUUUGUGGGGCACUAUUUAUAUUAUUAGUAUUUAUUUUUAAAUAUGUACAGGAAUGCGAAUGUACUAUCUUUUAA